rnacentral:rRNA from 1 species
CCCUUAGAUGUUCUGGGCCGCACGCGCGCUACACUGAUGCAUUCAACGAGCCUAUCCUUGACCGACAGGUCCGGGUAAUCUUUGAAUCUGCAUCGUGACGGGGAUAGAUUAUUGCAAUUAUUAAUCUUCAACGAGGAAUGCCUAGUAGGCGCAAGUCAUCAGCUUGCGUCGAUUACGUCCCUGCCCUUUGUACACACCGCCCGUCGCUCCUACCGAUUGGGUGUGCUGGUGAAAUGUUCGGAUCGGCCGUUUGUCGCGGUUUCCGCGUCAUGUGGCUGAGAAGUUCAUUAAACCCUCCCACCGAGAGGAAGGGGAAGUCGUAACA